rnacentral:rRNA from 1 species
CGCAGCUAACGCACUAAGUUGACCGCCUGGGGAGUACGGCCGCAAGGUUAAAACUCAAAUGAAUUGACGGGGGCCCGCACAAGCGGUGGAGCAUGUGGUUUAAUUCGACGCAACGCGAAGAACCUUACCUGGCCUUGACAUCCAGAGAACUUUCCAGAGAUGGAUUGGUGCCUUCGGGAACUCUGUGACAGGUGCUGCAUGGCCGUCGUCAGCUCGUGUCGUGAGAUGUUGGGUUAAGUCCCGUAACGAGCGCAACCCCUAUCCCUGGUUGCUAGCAGGUAAUGCUGAGAACUCCAGGGAGACUGCCGGUGACAAACCGGAGGAAGGUGGGGAUGACGUCAGGUCAUCAUGGCCCUUACGGCCAGGGCUACACACGUGCUACAAUGGCGCGUACAGAGGGCUGCGAACUCGCGAGAGUAAGCCAAUCCCUUAAAACGCGUCGUAGUCCGGAUCGGAGUCUGCAACUCGACUCCGUGAAGUCGGAAUCGCUAGUAAUCGCGAAUCAGAAUGUCGCGGUGAAUACGUUCCCGGGCCUUGUACACACCGCCCGUCACACCAUGGGAGUGGAUUGCACCAGAAGUGGUUAGUCUAACCUUCGGGAGGACGAUCACCACGGUGUGGUUCAUGACUGGGGUG